rnacentral:misc_RNA from 1 species
AACAAGGCGUACCUGCGGACCUGCGGAAGGAUCAUUACCGAAUGAAAUCCGGCUGGGUUGCCGCUGUCCUCCAGAGGUUGGGGGGGAAUGUGCGCACCUUGCUGUUGUUUCCACCUCUUCACCCGGUGCACCUCCUUGUAGACCAACCAGAUCACCCGUUUGAUCCCAGGCUUUUUUCGCCAGAAAGGGUCUCGGAUCUCUUUGGGGACUUGCCAUGACGGCUUUUCCUGGGGCUGUGCC